rnacentral:lncRNA from 1 species
UUAACUGUUCCAACAUUGUCAUCGGAUGAUCCAGUCCUGGAGCUUAUGACUACUCUGGUGACGGAGCAACGCUGCUGCCACAGACGUUCUUCUGCUACAUCUCAGAUCAACCACCUGCCGUUUGCCUUUGUGUGGAUGGUUCCAGCGUGAACGAGAGGAAUACAACUGUGGAGUGUACUACUGCUCUGGCCAUGAAGACGUGUUGUCGGCACCACAUUGUCUUGCAGCGGUUGCUCAGAUGUCCGGACAGCUUGGAACCACAGAACAAUUGGCGACUGUGCACCUACGUGAAGAACUAUCCGAAAACUUCUUCAGUGGAGUGCCGA